rnacentral:rRNA from 1 species
GACGAACCUUGCUAACGUUAUUCGGAAUCACUGGGCUUAAAGGGCGCGUAGGCGGUCCGCCAAGUCAGGGGUGAAAUCCUGCAGCUUAACUGCAGAAGUGCCUUUGAUACUGGCGGUCUGGAGGGAGGUAGGGGUGUGUGGAACUCACAGUGGAGCGGUGAAAUGCGUUGAUAUUGUGAGGAACGCCGGAGGCGAAAGCGACGCACUGGACCUCUUCUGACGCUGAGGCGCGAAAGCUAGGGGAGCGAACGGG